UUGGAUCCAGACUUUGAUUAUGGCUCAGGGUAAACGCUGGCGGCGCACAUAAGACAUGCAAGUCGAACGGACUUAACCCGAAUGUUUACAUUUGGGAGCGGUUAGUGGCGGACUGGUGAGUAACACGUAAGCAACCUGCCUAUUAGAGGGGAAUAACAGUGAGAAAUCAUUGCUAAUACCGCAUAUGCCAUAGAAACCACAUGGUUUCAGUGGGAAAGGAGCAAUCCGCUCAUAGAUGGGCUUGCGUCUGAUUAGAUAGUUGGUGGGGUAAUGGCCUACCAAGUCGACGGUCAGUAGCCGGACUGAGAGGUUGAACGGCCACAUUGGGACUGAGAUACGGCCCAGACUCCUACGGGAGGCAGCAGUCGGGAAUAUUGCACAAUGGAGGAAACUCUGAUGCAGUGACGCCGCGUGCAGGAAGAAGGUUUUCGGAUUGUAAACUGCUUUAGACAGGGAAGAAACAAGACAGUACCUGUAGAAUAAGCUCCGGCUAACUACGUGCCAGCAGCCGCGGUAAUACGUAGGGAGCAAGCGUUAUCCGGAUUUAUUGGGUGUAAAGGGUGCGUAGACGGGUAUAUAAGUUAGUUGUGAAAUCCCUCGGCUCAACUGAGGAACUGCAACUAAAACUGUAAAUCUUGAGUGCGGGAGAGGAAAGUGGAAUUCCUAGUGUAGCGGUGAAAUGCGUAGAUAUUAGGAGGAACACCAGUGGCGAAGGCGACUUUCUGGACCGUAACUGACGUUGAGGCACGAAAGUGUGGGGAGCAAACAGGAUUAGAUACCCUGGUAGUCCACACUGUAAACGAUGGAUACUAGGUGUAGGUGUUAUUAAGACAUCUGUGCCGUCGCAAACGCAGUAAGUAUCCCACCUGGGGAGUACGACCGCAAGGUUGCAACUCAAAGGAAUUGACGGA
rnacentral:rRNA from 1 species